rnacentral:rRNA from 1 species
CUACGGAAUAACGCAGGGAAACUUGUGCUAAUACCGUAUGAGCCCUUCGGGGGAAAGAUUUAUCGGGAAAGGAUGAGCCCGCGUUGGAUUAGCUAGUUGGUGGGGUAAAGGCCUACCAAGGCGACGAUCCAUAGCUGGUCUGAGAGGAUGAUCAGCCACAUUGGGACUGAGACACGGCCCAAACUCCUACGGGAGGCAGCAGUGGGGAAUAUUGGACAAUGGGCGCAAGCCUGAUCCAGCCAUGCCGCGUGAGUGAUGAAGGCCCUAGGGUUGUAAAGCUCUUUCACCGGUGAAGAUAAUGACGGUAACCGGAGAAGAAGCCCCGGCUAACUUCGUGCCAGCAGCCGCGGUAAUACGAAGGGGGCUAGCGUUGUUCGGAAUUACUGGGCGUAAAGCGCACGUAGGCGGAUUGUUAAGUGAGGGGUGAAAUCCCAGGGCUCAACCCUGGAACUGCCUUUCAUACUGGCAAUCUAGAGUCCAGAAGAGGUGAGUGGAAUUCCGAGUGUAGAGGUGAAAUUCGUAGAUAUUCGGAGGAACACCAGUGGCGAAGGCGGCUCACUGGUCUGGAACUGACGCUGAGGUGCGAAAGCG